rnacentral:ncRNA from 1 species
AGGUUAGUUUUACCCUACUGAUGAAGCGUUGUUGCCACAGUAAUCCUGCUCAGUACGAGAGGAACCGCAGAUUCAGACAUUUGGUUCAUGUGCUUGGCUGAUAAGCCAAUGGUGCGAAGCUACCAUCUGAGGGAUUAUGACUGAACGCCUCUAAGUCAGAAUCCCGCCUGGAAAGCGACGAUGCAUUCGUGCCUCGGCCUCGAGAGGGGUAGCUAGACGGCCGUGUGGCCGUGGAAAGAGCCCGAUUCCGACCCGAGAGGCCGCGGCAAGAGGAGGCCUCGAAGUCGGUGGAUCCUCCUGCUCGAAAGGCGGGGUGCUAAACCAUUCGCAGACGACCUAGUUGAAGAUCGGGGUGUCGUGAUCACUAGAGCAGUACAUCUCACUGCGAUUUGUUGAGAGUAAGCCUCAAGAUCUGUCGGUUUGU